GAAACAGCUUUGACGGGAAAAAGUAGCAAUAAGUGAAACAGACAGAAAGCAACCGGCUGAUGAGAGGUGCAUGGGAAACUUAUCGUGAAUACAUCCCUGAGCUUUGUACCGAACAUUCUUUUACAUUUGUAGUUAGAUGUAUGGAGUAAGUAGGCUGCAACGGAGUGGCGCACGUUAUGAGCGCUGGAGUGUUGACAGACACUCAAUGAGGCAGAUUGUGUGAAUGGUCUGCGAAUAAAGGUGGUAACACGAGUUUAUACCCUCGUCCUUUUC
rnacentral:ncRNA from 1 species